rnacentral:rRNA from 1 species
GAUGAACGCUGGCGGCGUGCCUAAUACAUGCAAGUCGAGCGAACAGACGAGGAGCUUGCUCCUCUGACGUUAGCGGAGGACGGGUGAGUAACGCGUGGAUAACCUACCUAUCUGACUGGGAUAACUUCGGGAAACCGGCGCUAAUCCCGGAUAAUAUAUUGCACCGCAUGGGUCAAUAGUGAAAGACGGUUUUGCUGUCACUUGUGGAUGGAUCCGCGCCGCAUCAGCUAGUUGGUAGGGUAGAGGCUUACCAAGGCAACGACGCGUAGCCGGCCUGAGAGGGUGACCGGCCACAUUGGGACUGAGAUACGGCCAAGACUCCUACGGGAGGCAGCAGUGGGGAAUAUUGCACAAUGGGCGGAAGCCUGAUGCAGCAACGCCGCGUGCGGGAUGACGGCCUUCGGGUUGUAAACCGCUUUCGCCUGUGACGAAGCGUGAGUGACGGGAAUGGGUAAAGAAGCACCGGCUAACUACGUG